UACGGAGGUGGCAAGCGUUGCUCGGAAUCACUGGGCGUAAAGGGCGCGUAGGCGGGGAGGUAAGUCGGGUGUGAAAUCCCUCGGCCCAACCGAGGAACUGCGCCCGAGACUGCUUCUCUUGAGUCCCGGAGAGGAAGAUGGAAUUCCCAGUGUAGAGGUGAAAUUCGUAGAUAUUGGGAAGAACACCAGUGGCGAAGGCGGCUAACUGGUCCAGUACUGACGCUGAGGUGCGAAAGCGUGGGGAGCAAACAGG
rnacentral:rRNA from 1 species